rnacentral:rRNA from 1 species
UCCUACGGGAGGCAGCAGUGGGGGAUAUUGCACAAUGGGGGGAACCCUGAUGCAGCGACGCCGCGUGAGCGAAGAAGUAUUUCGGUAUGUAAAGCUCUAUCAGCAGGGAAGAAAAUGACGGUACCUGAGUAAGAAGCCCCGGCUAAAUACGUGCCAGCAGCCGCGGUAAUACGUAUGGGGCAAGCGUUAUCCGGAUUUACUGGGUGUAAAGGGAGCGUAGGCGGCCUGGCAAGUCUGAUGUGAAAUACCGUGGCCCAA